GACGGAGGGAGCAAGCGUUGUUCGGAUUUACUGGGUGUAAAGGGCGUCUAGGCGGGCUUGUAAGUCAGAUGUGAAAUCCUUCGGCUCAACCGAAGAACUGCAUUUGAUACUACAAGUCUUGAGUUCGGAAGAGGGAAGCGGAAUUCCUGGUGUAGCGGUGAAAUGCGUAGAUAUCAGGAAGAACACCAGUGGCGAAGGCGGCUUCCUGGUCCGAUACUGACGCUAAAGCGCGAAAGUGUGGGGAGCGAACAGGAUUAGAUACCCCUGUA
rnacentral:rRNA from 1 species